GACGAACGCUGGCGGCGUGCUUAACACAUGCAAGUCGAACGAAGUGGCGAACGGGUGAGUAACGCGUAAUUAACCUGCCCUUCAGAGGGGGACAACAGUUGGAAACGACUGCUAAUACCGCAUACUGAAGGAGGGGAUUGCGUCUGAUUAGCUAGUUGGAGGGGUAACGGCCCACCAAGGCGAUGAUCAGUAGCCGGUCUGAGCGGUUGACCGGCCACAUGUGUACUGAGAUACGGUCCAGACUCCUACGGGAGGCAGCAGUGGGGGAUAUUGCACAAUGGGCGAAAGCCUGAUGCAGCGACGCCGCGUGGGGGAUGAAGGCUUUCGGGUUGUAAACCUCUUUCGCUAUCGAACGGGUAGGUGGAGAAGAAGCGCCGGCUAACUACGUGCCAGCCGCCGCGGUAAUAC
rnacentral:rRNA from 1 species